rnacentral:rRNA from 1 species
AGAACGAACGCUGGCGGCAGGCUUAACACAUGCAAGUCGAACGCGUGUAGCAAUACACGAGUGGCGCACGGGUGAGUAACGCGUGGAUAUCUGCCUUUUGGUUCGGAAUAACCCCGGGAAACUGGGGCUAAUACCGGAUGGUUCCUUCGGGAUAAAGAUUUAUCGCCAAAAGAUGAGUCCGCGUCCGAUUAGCUAGUUGGUGAGGUAAUGGCUCACCAAGGCGACGAUCGGUAGCUGGUCUGAGAGGACGAUCAACCACACUGGGACUGAGACACGGCCCAGACUCCUACGGGAGGCAGCAGUGGGGAUAUUGGACAAUGGGGGCAACCCUGAUCCAGCCAUGCCGCGUGAGUGAUGGAAGGCCUUCGGGUUGUAAAGUCGUUCUUUUGGCGGGGACGAGUGAGUGACGGUACCCGCAGAAGUAACGCCCCGUCUAACGUUCGUGCCAGCAGCCGC